UGUAACUUUGCUUGAAGCAGGUUAUGCAUGUAAAGAAUCAAACAGCGAAUUCUAAAAGGCUAAGUCUUCUUCUUCCUUCUUAUAUAUAAAGACCAAGAAUGUAUUAUGACAUCACGAAAACAACUUUGCCACUGCCUAACACUCAGGCUUUGCCAGAACAAAGUCAGUAAGAUGGUGCGAUAAUCAGCCUCCAAGAUGGCUACCAAGGAUUCCUGCCAUCUGGUGUUGACAACCUUGUGGAAUCUGAUCCCACAUUGUACCAGAGGUGGUCUGUGUGACUAACGGCACCUGGCAGAAGAGAUGGAAUCAUCAGAUGGACAUUUCCAGUUGUUGCAAGCCAGCAGCAUUUCAGAGAGGAGGAGGAAAGUCACAUCUGGCCAGAUCUUCAACGUGUUUCUAAGUCUGUUUGUCCCUGCCUCUCCUGCUGUUUCUUCUGCUUCCAAAAAUAUGAUUAACGUCUAUGAAUUUAUAACACUCUGCAUUGUAAGCAAGGCUGAGGGCUGUCCACCCCAACGAGGGUGAGGUAUGGAGUUAAUGAGAAGUGAGACUGGAGAACGAACAGAAAGAUGCCAAUGUUAAAGUAAUUGAGCAUGAAUAUCAAACGCUGACUUGGGAACAGUCUUCAUUUGCUGAUAGAGAGUCUGAUCAGCUGGUGGGCAGAGGGAACAAGCACAGACCCGCAUUCGCAGCAGGCCCCAGAAAUUCCCUAUCGCCACGGCGAAUGCAUUAUAACCUGGUGACCUUUGUGUCCCGAUCUGCAAUCAAGUGUUUUCUUUUUCCCCUUCUUUCCUUCCCUCCCUCCCUCUUUAUUUCUUUCCUUCCUAUGACAGGUUUCCUCCCUUCUUUCUGAAUUGAUCUCAUCCGUCCCCAAGCCUCAUAAAGAAUUUAAAUUUU